rnacentral:rRNA from 1 species
CCAUGCCGAAUCCCGCAGAGUGAAUCUGUUGGGAGAUGUAGCGUAUGGGUACUCUUGCCGCCCAGCAGGACUGUUCGUAAGUCCACAUGAUUGUGGUCCCAUUGAGGGUGUAAGGCCUGUAAUGGUCAGUCUUGCUGAGUCAUGAGAGUAUCCUUGAGUCGGGUUGCUUGAGAUUGCAGCCCUAAUUAGGUGGUAAACUCCAUCUAAGGCUAAAUAUAACACUAGUCCGAUAGCAAACAAGUACCGUGAGGGAAAGUUGAAAAGAACUUUGAAGAGAGAGUUCAAUAGUACGUGAAAUUGCUCAGAGGUAAACGAUUAGAGCCGAAAGUGGUGUGGUGGUUCAUGUGUGCGUGGCUGGGAUGUUGUGAUUGGCAAGCCCUUUACGGCUGACGGUUACAAUUUUUUCCUGUCAUGUGUGCUAUCGAUCCCCAUGCCUUAACCACGAACAAUGCUUUGAGGCACUGUCAUCGUGAGGAAGGUAGCGCUUGCCUUUUCGUGAGUGUGAUAGCCUCGUGAUAUGGUCGUCUUGAAGUAUUGGGAUAAGCGAUGCAAGCCGUUUAGGCGCACAUGAAAGCCUCACAUUGUGGGCAGGAGUCAGACUCGUUUCAGAGAUUGGCUUUUUGUCUUGCAGUGUGGGUGAGUUUUCCUCUGUGUAUUGUGUCUAUAUUCUGUGGUUGCUACAGUAGGUAGUCUAAUCGACCCGUCUUGAAACACGGACCAAGGAGUUUAGCUUAUGCGCAAGUCAAUGAGUCUUACGAAACUCAAAGGCGAAGUGAAAGUAAAGGUUCUCUUUUGAGGGCUGAGGUGAGAUCUGUAAAGCAGCGCUUAACAUGCUGUGGAGCAGCGCAUCACCGGCUCGUCCUAUUAUUUUUAAUCGGGGCGAAGCAAGAGCGCAUAGGCUGAGACCCGAAAGAUGGUGAUCUAUGCUUGUGUAGGAUGAAGCCAGGGGAAACUCUGGUGGAAGUCCGUAGCGAUUCUGACGUGCAAAUCGAUCGUCAAACAUGAGUAUAGGGGCGAAAGACUAAUCGAACCAUCUAGUAGCUGGUACCCACUGAAGUUUCCCUCAGGAUAGCUGGCCCCUUUUGUAACUGAUUUAUCUGGUAAAGCAAAUGAUUAGAGGUACUGGGGAAGUAAUUUUCUCAACCUAUUCUCAAACUUUAAAUGGGUAAGAUGUCAAACUCGCUUAACUGUAGUUUGACAUUGAUAGUUGGGGCCAAGUGGGCCAUUUUUGGUAAGCAGAACUGGCGCUGUGGGAUGAACCAAACGUGGAGGUAAGGUGCAGAACGAGGCGGUUAUCAGACACCACAAAAGGUGUUGGUUGAUAU